rnacentral:rRNA from 1 species
CCCCAAGAGUCCACAUCGACGGGGAGGUUUGGCACCUCGAUGUCGGCUCAUCACAUCCUGGGGCUGUAGUAGGUCCCAAGGGUUGGGCUGUUCGCCCAUUAAAGUGGUACGCGAGCUGGGUUCAGAACGUCGUGAGACAGUUCGGUCCCUAUCCGUCGCAGGCGUAGGAAAUUUGAGAAGACCUGUCCGUUAGUACGAGAGGACCGGGAUGGACGUACCUCUGGUGUACCAGUUGUUCUGCCAAGGGCAUGGCUGGGUAGCUAUGUACGGAAUGGAUAAGCGCUGAAAGCAU